rnacentral:rRNA from 1 species
UACGAAGGGGGCUAGCGUUGCUCGGAAUCACUGGGCGUAAAGGGCGCGUAGGCGGACUUUUUAAGUCAGGGGUGAAAUCCUGAGGCUCAACCUCAGAACUGCCUUUGAUACUGAGGGUCUCGAGACCGGUAGAGGUAAGUGGAACUGCGAGUGUAGAGGUGAAAUUCGUAGAUAUUCGCAAGAACACCAGUGGCGAAGGCGGCUUACUGGACCGGUU